UACGAAGGGGGCUAGCGUUGCUCGGAAUCACUGGGCGUAAAGGGUGCGUAGGCGGGUCUUUAAGUCAGGGGUGAAAUCCUGGAGCUCAACUCCAGAACUGCCUUUGAUACUGAAGAUCUUGAGUUCGGGAGAGGUGAGUGGAACUGCGAGUGUAGAGGUGAAAUUCGUAGAUAUUCGCAAGAACACCAGUGGCGAAGGCGGCUCACUGGCCCGAUACUGACGCUGAGGCAUGAAAGCGUGGGGAGCAAACAGG
rnacentral:rRNA from 1 species